CAGAGCCCUUGCUGGAGUUGAGAUGAUCUCUGGCAAGCUUAUUAGCAUACAUGCAAAGAAAUCAGGGGAAGAAAAAGUUACAUUUAUGAGCACAUAAAGAAACCAGACUAAUCUGUAAGAUAAGGGGUCAGAAUUUUCCUGGGGGAAG